UUAGAAAGUUAGUUUCUAUUGGCAAUGAUUAAAAGCUACAAUUAAUUUUGAUAGGCAAUAACAGUCGAUUCGAGCUCGGGCAAACUCGAACUCGGCGUGAAUUUUUUUCGAGCCCAAAAACCAACUUAACUCUGUCUGAAUCUAGUUUCAAGCCGAGGCGAGUCGAGUGAGCUGACCGAGCUAACUCGAAUCAUGUACAGCUCAUGUUCUACUUGUAAGAUAACUCAAUGAAGCACCAAGACGUUUAGAUUUUGUGGUCAAUCCAUGGUUUCAUGGCCAUAUAAAAUGAGAAUGGAAAAGCUACUUGGCGCACACGAGGUGAUUGGACAUAAUAUAGAGAAUGGUUAUGAAGGAAAAUUAUUUUCCUUUUAUGUUUUCUCUGUUGGCUUCUUCAUGUAUGAAUGAAGUGAGAUACUUGGAUGAUGUUUUCAAAAGAGAGCAUGUGGAUGUGUGUAUUUUUUAUAUUCAAAUGAGUGUUUAGUUGAUCUAGCAGGGAGGUACAAAAUUUUAUUGAUCUAGACGGGAGUGAGUGUGCAUCUCAUGCAUUAUCAGAUAAGAACUAAUCAUCAAGUGAAAUAUGUACAAAACUACUUCCAUGAUGUAUUGUAACAGGAUAUGUUGGGAGUCAAGACGCCAGAUCAGGUCCUUUUUAAUGAUCCAAAAUGUUUGCAUCUUUUCCGUUGAAUAUAGGGAGUCUGCUUAACCACUGAAUAUAUAAGGGCUUUGAAUAAUCCAGAGGUUUGGACUAGAGCCAUGUCUUUGUAAAGGCAUAUUUGCUUAAGGGAGGAUAUCUUAAACUAUGCUACCAAGUUGCUAAAGGCAGAGCUCCCUCUUUCUGUGAGGCUUCUUGGGAUUGCCCCAAUGACAUAAAGGAAGCAGUCUCAACUCUAAUAUUUGCUGCUACAAGAUGUGUAGCUUUGCCUAAGCUUCAGACGCUACAGAAGCUAUUUGGAGAGCAUUAUGUGAAUGCUUUUGCUGUGGGCGCAGUAGAAUUUUUUGCUUUCCUCAGCACAAUGAAAUUCUUAUUCAGCUUGUUGCUACAUGGAGUCAUGGAAACAGCGUAUCUGUACGGUAGGAAUAACUCGGAAAUCAUUGAGUUUAUAGCCAUGGACAUGCUCGCUUGAGUCUCCUCCUGAAGGUUACAUUGUUGGAUGCACAUAUAAAUGAGCCUGAGAAGUAGGCUUCUACC